GGUAAUACGGAGGAUCCAAGCGUUAUCCGGAUUCAUUGGGUUUAAAGGGUGCGUAGGCGGAAUGAUAAGUCAGUGGUGAAAGCCUGCAGCUUAACUGCAGAACUGCCAUUGAUACUGUCAAUCUUGAGUACAUUUGAUGUGGGCGGAAUGUGUCAUGUAGCGGUGAAAUGCUUAGAUAUGACACAGAACACCGAUUGCGAAGGCAGCUCACAAAACUGUAACUGACGCUGAGGCACGAAAGCGUGGGUAUCAAACAGGAUUAGAUACCCUGGUAGUCCACGCUGUAAACUAUGAUUACUCGAUGUUUGCGAUACACUGUAAGCGUCUAAGCGAAAGCGAUAAGUAAUCCACCUGGGGAGUACGCUCGCAAGAGUGAAACUCAAAG
rnacentral:rRNA from 1 species